CUGCCUCCUUCUUUCCCGUCUGCGUCGGCUGCCUCCAACGCCGCAGCUUUGCUGCCGCCUCCUCUCCCAUCUGACGGGAGCAUGCUGACAAAUGGCCUCUCCCUCAAGGAGUCCGCGCGUGUGCUGCUCGCGCUGACCGCGCUCUACGGCGCCCUCUCCCUCCGCGCGUAUUGCAUCCAUUGCCUGCAUGGCAUUAGAAAUCGGAUUGACUUGUUUGGGCUCUCUGGGGCUGCUCUGCUCAACUUGUGUUCGAUGAAAUGCUCCUUAGGGGAUAAGAAGUUAAGAACCCUGGUUUCGUGCAAUCAUGUGAAAUCAAAUCUUCUUGAUCUAGGUCACCAACCAAUGUGGUUAACAUUUUACCUUAAUUACAAUAGUGUGCUUAUUGGUUUAUGCACUAACCGUUGUUUGCUUCUUAUCCCUUGUAUCACUUGUAUCCCUUAAUUACAAUAGUGUGGUUAACAUUUUACCUGAAUUACAAUAGUGAGCAAUUUUACUUUAUAUGCUCAGAUUUUGGUUGCAACUUAUCCCUUGUAUCACUUGUAUACAUGCUGAAGCAUUACAAGAAGGUUUGUUAGCUGAUGAUGGAUCAAUUGCACUUUUCAGACUUCUCUCUUUUGAACAGGCUAUGUCAAGCAUUACUGAAGGCUAUUCGAUGCUGGGGGUCUUGGUGCAAACAUCAAGUGGCAGUAAACACUGUGGCAGCAAUGAUGGAUCAAUUGCAAGUCUGCAUCUUUGCAUCAAUUGCAAAAUGACAAUCUAAACUUCAAAUAGCCCCUGCUGCAGUGCAGAAAAGCUCUUCCUGUUUGGCAUGUCGAAUCUGUGCCAUUCAUCAAAGAUUUCAUAUCAGAUGUCCUACAUACUGUCAGGUCAUGAAUUUCUUGUAACAGCUGAACAUGUUUGGGAUCUUUAAAAUGUGUAAGCAGAUCAUUGACAUCUGCUUUAGUUUGCUCAUUGUUGCAAUUCAGUUUUGGUUGAUGUCACUAUGCUUAUUUCUGUUCUUACAAGUUGGCCGUAGCGUUAGCACGGGCCACUUACUAGUCCUCUUGUAGUUGUAGGUGCGUACCUGCGAUUUCUUCUUCUCUGUACGUUGCCCCCGAUACGGGGAAUUACAAAAGACAUUCCUGGGAUGCGCCGAGAUGAUAUUAGUGCCAACGGCGGCGAAGAAAAAGGGACGACGACGCGGUGCCGCCAAGCAGAUGCAAGGAGGCGGCAAGCGCUUAUGCUCCUCAGGCGGACGCAAGCUCGGCUGAUGCGGCAACUUUAGCUUGCGGAUGGUGUAGCCCCACGGCCAGUCAUCAAAGAUGAGGUAAAGGUGCUGCUGCCCCGUCGGAAGAGGGGCAUCAUGACUUCCCUCCGGCAUACAUGCUCAAAUUAAUAAAAUCUACAAGAGCACUGAGAUGGAGAUGUUGUUGUUCUACACUUGAUGGACUUCCAUGCAUACAUGCUCAAAUUAAUAAAAUCUCUUUGAAUGCUUGACGA